AUUGCUCCCCGUUCCCGCCAAAAAAGAAAAAAGCCCAAUAGAAUGAAGGUGCCAUGUGGACUGUGACAGUCCUCUUCACCCCAUCACUGAACCUAAGAGCUCCCGUGUCUUCUGGCUUUCUGUCCCGUGGAGUCCUGCCUUGGUGCUGCCAACGGUUGCCGGGUGGACAGGUCUCAGCUGUGCACAUAACCCUCUCAGCCGCCCGGGGCUUGGAGGAGACUAGCAGCGCUGCUCAGGGUCCAGCAGCUCCAAGCGCGUUCAUCAGAGCCUGUAUCCCCACCGCUCCACCUGCUGUGCCGGGCGGCUCUGGGACAAGCUGCUGCAGAGCAACUGAGACCACAUGGUGAAGAAUCUGGAGAAAGGACUAGAAGAUUCUGGGGCUGUGCUUGCAAUAAGGGACAUAGAACAGUUCUCCCUGUGCCUGGAACAAAGAACUUCCCU